rnacentral:lncRNA from 1 species
AUCAACAAUUAAUAUAAUUAGAUACCAAACUCAAAUCUGUACAACUUAAAAGCUAAAUACAUACAUGAAAGUCAAAAUAUAAAUAUAAACAACUACUGCCCAAGAUCAGGAAUCUCUGUCCCAUCGCCGGUCCCAUCCUCCAUAGUCUCAUCAGCAUCAGCUCGGAGAUCAUCAGCAUCAGCUCGGAGAUCAUCACCAUCUCCUCCACGAGCAUCACCUGUGCCGCCAUCUCCACCUCCACGAGUCUCAUCAACAAGACCCUACAAAAUUAAAAUAUUAAUAACGGAGUCCCCAAAAUAGAUCAUAUUUAUAUUAUUUUAGUUUGUGCUCUACAAGUGUUGUUCAGUUUCGCAAACAGAGCGAUAACUCGGUCUUCGUAUGUCGGAAUCGAGUACCGUCAGUUGUAACGCGUGUCUAAUACCUACGCGGUGCUGUGUGUGUGUUUGCGUGGCGUUCGGACGGACGAUGCGGGUUUCGGGCUCUUUUUCGGCUUUUUGGCUAAGUGUUGUUCAGUUUCGCAAACUAGGCGAUAACUCGGUCUCCGUAUGUCGGAAUCGAGUACCGUCAGUUGUAACGCGUGCCUAAUACCUACGCGGUGCUGUGUGUGUGUUUGCGUGGCGUUCGGACGGACGAUGCGGGUUUCGGGCUCUUUUUCGGCUUUUUGGCUAAGUGUUGUUCAGUUUCGCAAACUAGGCGAUAACUCGGUCUCCGUAUGUCGGAAUCGAGUACCGUCAGUUGUAACGCGUGCCUAAUACCUACGCGGUGCUGUGUGUGUGUUUGCGUGGCGUUCGGACGGACGAUGCGGGUUUCGGGCUCUUUUUCGGCUUUUUGCCUAAGUCUUGUUCAGUUUUGCAAACUAGGCGAUAACUCGGUCUCCGUAUGUCGGAAUCGAGUACCGUCAGUUGUAACGCGUGUCUAAUACCUACGCGGUGCUGUGUGUGUGUUUGCGUGGCGUUCGGACGGACGAUGCGGGUUUCGGGCUCUUUUUCGGCUUUUUGCCUAAGUCUUGUUUAGUUUCGCAAACUAGGCGAUAAAUUGGUCUCCGUAUCUCGGAAUCGAGUACCGUCAGUUGUAACGCGUGUCUAAUACCUACGCGGUGCUGUGUGUGUGUUUGCGUGGCAUUCGGACGGACGAUGCGGGUUUCGGGCUCUUUUUCGGCUUUUUGGCUAAGUGUUGUUCAGUUUCGCAAACUAGGCGAUAACUCGGUCUCCGUAUGUCGGAAUCGAGUACCGUCAGUUGUAACGCGUGCCUAAUACCUACGCGGUGCUGUGUGUGUGUUUGCGUGGCGUUCGGACGGACGAUGCGGGUUUCGGGCUCUUUUUCGGCUUUUUGCCUAAGUGUUGUUCAGUUUCGCAAACUAGGCGAUAACUCGGUCUCCGUAUGUCGGAAUCGAGUACCGUCAGUUGUAACGCGUGCCUAAUACCUACGCGGUGCUGUGUGUGUGUUUGCGUGGCGUUCGGACGGACGAUGCGGGUUUCGGGCUCUUUUUCGGCUUUUUGCCUAAGUCUUGUUCAGUUUUGCAAACUAGGCGAUAACUCGGUCUCCAUAUGUCGGAAUCAAGUACCGUCAGUUGUAACGCGUGUCUAAUACCUACGCGGUGCUGUGUGUGUGUUUGCGUGGCGUUCGGACGGACGAUGCGGGUUUCGGGCUCUUUUUCGGCUUUUUGGCUAAGUGUUGUUUAGUUUCGCAAACAGGAUGAUAACUCGGUCUCCGUAUGUCAGAAUCGAGUACCGUCAGUUGUAACACGUGCCUAAUACCUACGGGGUUCUGUGUGUGUAUAAUGGUGUUAGGGUUUUAUCUUAUGUUUAUCUAAGCAAUACAAUUACAAAUUACAUAAAUUAAAUAAGGAAAUACAGAAUUUAAUUAUUUUUACUUGUCGAAUAUGUGGUGGGAAGAUGUUGGCCAAGACAACUGCACACGCGCGGAUGGCCUCCUCCCGUACUACACCCAUUAGAUCGUCAACGGCAACUGUAGGAUCGAUAGAGCCGUGGACAACCUC